rnacentral:misc_RNA from 1 species
UAUUAUAAUUGUCUCUGUAAACGUCGACACCGCCGUAGAAUACACGAAACCAAGGUCACCAAUCUAAAAAAUAAUACAAUUUUUAAGUUACCAAUUAUUAUCAUUUUUUGAUAUUUGAAAAUAUCUGAGUAAUCUCAGUGUAUGUCUGUCUGUAACGAAACACUUAAUAUUCGUGAAUAUUCAUUGUAAAAGAUUAUAAUGCCAUCAUAAUAAUUAGGUAACUAAAAAUUACAUUAAAGUAAAUAGGAAUUUUUGAUUUCAUGUCAUGUGAUCAUCAUGACACCGUGUUGGCGCAACGGUCACAGCCAUGGAUUGUAUCUGUUGCACUGGCGGUUGCGGGAAAUAUCUUAAAAUCAGAUAAGUCAAAACAAAA